rnacentral:rRNA from 1 species
GUCUAAGGCCAUGCCACCCUGAACAAGUCCAAUACUGUCUGAUCUCGGAAGCUAAGCAGGGUCAGGCCUGGUUAAUAUUUGGAUGGGAGACCCCCUAGGAAGACCAGGAGCUGUAGGCA